rnacentral:tRNA from 1 species
GCAGUGGUAGCUCAACUGGUUAGAGCACUCGCCUGUCACGCGAGAGGUUGCGGGUUCAAGUCCCGUCCGCUGCGCCA